AUUGAACGCUGGCGGCAUGCCUUACACAUGCAAGUCGAACGGCAGCACGGGAGCAAUCCUGGUGGCGAGUGGCGAACGGGUGAGUAAUAUAUCGGAACGUGCCCAGUCGUGGGGGAUAACGUAGCGAAAGCUACGCUAAUACCGCAUACGAUCUAAGGAUGAAAGCGGGGGAUCGCAAGACCUCGCGCGAUUGGAGCGGCCGAUGGCAGAUCAGGUAGUUGGUAGGGUAAAGGCUUACCAAGCCGACGAUCUGUAGCUGGUCUGAGAGGAUGAUCAGCCACACUGGGACUGAGACACGGCCCAGACUCCUACGGGAGGCAGCAGUGGGGAACUUUGGACAAUGGACGCAAGUCUGAUCCAGCCAUUCCGCGUGCAGGAUGAAGGCCCUCGGGUUGUAAACUGCUUUUGUACAGAACGAAAAGGCUCUGGUUAAUACCUAGGGCUCAUGACGGUACUGUAAGAAUAAGCACCGGCUAACUACGUGCCAGCCGCCGCGGUAA
rnacentral:rRNA from 1 species